rnacentral:rRNA from 1 species
GUGAACGCUGGCGGUAGGCCUAACACAUGCCAGUCGCACGGCAGCACAGUAAGAGCUUGCUCUUACGGGUGGCGAGUGGCGGACGGGUGAGGAAUACAUCGGAAUCUACUUUUUCGUGGGGGAUAACGUAGGGAAACUUACGCUAAUACCGCAUACGACCUACGGGUGAAAGCAGGGGAUCUUCGGACCUUGCGCGAUUGAAUGAGCCGAUGUCGGAUUAGCUAGUUGGCGGGGUAAAGGCCCACCAAGGCGACGAUCCGUAGCUGGUCUGAGAGGAUGAUCAGCCACACUGGAACUGAGACACGGUCCAGACUCCUACGGGAGGCAGCAGUGGGGAAUAUUGGACAAUGGGCGCAAGCCUGAUCCAGCCAUACCGCGUGGGUGAAGAAGGCCUUCGGGUUGUAAAGCCCUUUUGUUGGGAAAGAAAAGCAGCAGGUUAAUACCCCGCUGUUCUGACGGUACCCAAAGAAUAAGCACCGGCUAACUUCGU